UACGUAGGUGGCAAGCGUUGUCCGGAUUUAUUGGGUUUAAAGGGUGCGUAGGCGGUCUAUUAAGUCAGUGGUGAAAUAUCCCGGCUUAACCGGGAGGGUGGCAUUGAUACUGAUGGACUUGAGUGGAGUUGAGGUAGGCGGAAUUGACGGUGUAGCGGUGAAAUGCUUAGAUAUCGUCAAGAACACCAAUAGCGAAGGCAGCUUACUAAGCUCUAACUGACACUGAUGCACGAAAGUGUGGGGAGCAAACAGG
rnacentral:rRNA from 1 species